GAAUAUUGGUAGCAUCUUAUAAGUAGUUUGGGUUAAAUGAGUCCCACCUAAAAUGAGUCUACUCUGGGCAAGAAGUACCCAUUCUAUUCCCAGCUUGCUCAGUAGCUGGUGAUUGGAGGACACUUUGCAACAAUG
ensembl:snoRNA